rnacentral:rRNA from 1 species
CGAGCGUGACGGCGCGAGCAGGUGCGAAAGCAGGUCAUAGUGAUCCGGUGGUUCUGAAUGGAAGGGCCAUCGCUCAACGGAUAAAAGGUACUCCGGGGAUAACAGGCUGAUACCGCCCAAGAGUUCAUAUCGACGGCGGUGUUUGGCACCUCGAUGUCGGCUCAUCACAUCCUGGGGCUGAAGUAGGUCCCAAGGGUAUGGCUGUUCGCCAUUUAAAGUGGUACGCGAGCUGGGUUUAGAACGUCGUGAGACAGUUCGGUCCCUAUCUGCCGUGGGCGCUGGAGAACUGAGGGGGGCUGCUCCUAGUACGAGAGGACCGGAGUGGACGCAUCACUGGUGUUCGGGUUGUCAUGCCAAUGGCACUGCCCGGUAGCUAAAUGCGGAAGAGAUAAGUGCUGAAAGCAUCUAAGCACGAAACUUGCCCCGAGAUGAGUUCUCCCUGACCCUUUAAGGGUCCUGAAGGAACGUUGAAGACGACGACGUUGAUAGGCCGGGUGUGUAAGCGCAGCGAUGCGUUGAGCUAACCGGUACUAAUGAACCGUGAGGCUUAACCUUACAACGCCGAAG